UACGAAGGGGGCUAGCGUUGUUCGGAAUUACUGGGCGUAAAGCGCGCGCAGGCGGUCUUCCAAGUCAGUGGUGAAAGCCUGGAGCUCAACUCCAGAACUGCCAUUGAAACUGUUAGACUUGAGUACGAGAGAGGUGAGUGGAAUUCCCAGUGUAGAGGUGAAAUUCGUAGAUAUUGGGAAGAACACCGGUGGCGAAGGCGGCUCUCUGGACCGUAACUGACGCUGAGGCGCGAAAGCGUGGGGAGCAAACAGG
rnacentral:rRNA from 1 species